ensembl:lncRNA
CAGGAUGAACUCGGCCUCAAGAAAAAUGACGGCCGAGCCACGCAUUCGGUGACUGAGCACUCAGACACAGCUUGGCAGGUGUCUGCUUCAGACAGGCCAGCGACCAGAGGACAUUCCUGUAAAGAACUGUUUUAAACAAGAAUCUGUGCCCAAACGAAGCAAAGGACCAGGGCCCAGCAGAGGUGAAAAGCCAGCUUUCCAAGCAUCCUGGGAGCAUUCCAGCGGGUCGUUCAUUCCGAGAGCGCCCCCUGGGCGCCCUGCAGCCUUUGGCUGGGCCUCUUCUCAGCUCCUGGGGCUGAACAGUGACAGCAACGCUGCAUAUGGACUAAACCAGCAGUCGCUGGGUCCCCACGUCUGUGCUGUGGAAACGACCUUCUCGUGGCAUCAUCAAAAAGCACUUUAGUAGAUAGGUGGCGUUACCGACAAAGGCAGACUCUAUCGUGCUUCAUCCAAGCCGACGCCUGUGACCCUCCGGCUUGGAUGAUGUAGGCUUCCCCUCAACAGGAAAGUUACGUGUUGUAAGUCGUGAAGUCCAGGCUUGAGCCCGAGGCCUUCGCCUCACAAUCAGCAUGACCCCGCUGUGAUCAGUGCCCACGCUUAUCAUUCCAGAGCCAAGUCUGGAGUGGGCCACACGUGUCUGUGCAAACUUAGCACGGACUUCGGUGAAUGUUCCAGGAACUGAGAGAGUCCGUGAAAUAGUGAACGGGACAGAGUCUGUGAGUCUGCAUGCCAUGACCCCGACAGCCACUGCGUGUUGACUUGCAGAGUUAACACGCUCGGCUUCUGACUGCCGUUUCCUGCCCCCAUCCCCCCCACCGACUCCAAGCACACUCCACAGGAGUCUGUGGACCUGAGCGCAGAAGCCAGGCCGAAGAGUGUUCACGGCCCUGCUGUGUGAGAGCAAGAGCCCGGACGAAGCUGAGCGUCCAUCCCGGCGGAAACACGCGUGCGCCUGCAGGUUUGUUCACAGGGUGAAUGAAGUACUACGCGGCAGUGAAGGCGGACACAGGCGCGUGCUGUGACAGGCGUGACUUAGAAAUGCAAAGACAAGCAAACAAAGUGCGGGGCAAAAGGCUGCAGACGUGUGAUACUAGUUUUAUAAAGCUCACGAGCCUCGAGGGAUGCAUAUCGCUUUAAACAAACAAAUAUGCGCACGCACACAUACAAUCAUAUACACACGCGCGCGCGCGUAUAUACGAUCAGACCUUUGAAAAGACACGGGAACGUGAACGCACAAUUGAAGUUGUCGCCUCGGGGGCAGAGGCGGGAGGACGAACGAGCAUGGGAACCAUUGCUGGGACGCGCUCAGGUAGGCUCGCGCCUUCCGGGAGGGCUCAGCUCGCACCUUCCAGCUCUCAGGCUGGCUGUGGGUUCACUGGUGUCCUUGUGAUACUAUUUCACGACCUAUGUGCUGCCCGCAUUUUCUUCUACUUUGUGUCGAAUGUCUGCAUCUUGAAAAACACAAGCAGGUCCUUGAAGGCCAUCGUUCUGUACGCCGUGUGCCUGUUUCUGGGAGGCUCUUGGCGCCGUGGGUGACUCCAGAAAUGGUUCCCAUCGAGCCCCGUGAACUAGUCGGGGCGGUGUCCUCCCAAGUCAGCAGGAGGGUCCCCCAUGCGCACUCCCGCAGGAGGGGCCCGGCCUCUGCCAGGCUUGCGGCCCCGGGCGGCACGCACAGUGGGCGGAGGCCCUGCGGGAGGGGCCCCACAGCUUGUUUACGAGCCGCCCGGUGAAGCAGUCUGGGGGGCCCCCAGCAGCGCCCGCUCCACCAGAAGAGCCACCGCUCCCGGGAGCUCGCGUCCCCUCCUGCAGCCCAGACGCUCGAGCAGACGUGAAGAGCAGGGACCCCCUGCCUCUCGGGGCUUUGGCCUGGGGAUCCGCUAGCUGUAGGCCUUGGGCUUGGGAGACAAGGCUUGGCCCCGAGAGCUUUCAGACCCAUAGCAGAGCAAGACACCCAGAUAGGAGCGGCCCGCACAAACCCUCUUGGGCUUAGCGCACCAGCUCGGCACAAAGAGCUCCACUUGCCCAGUUAACCACAGGCCGGAGAGCGAAUUUUCAGAGGAGCCCGUGGAAAAGUGGGUGGGAGCGGGAGAGCCGCUGCUCAGGAGUGAACCCGCGGGCCCCUGUCCUAACGGUGAAAGACGAUUGGGCCAACGAGGGCCGUUCAGACUUAGGUUUGCUGGACAUUUUCUCAAAAAGGAAUCAAGUGACCCUGUCCCUUCAAGGAGAGCGACCAACAGUGUUUGUUACCAAUGAUAAAAAUUUGUUUUUGAAGAAAAAUGAGAAUUUUGGGGAGCUCGCAUCUGCCGCUGUGAGCUUUACGGCUUCUGAGUACUUAGAUUUUUCUGAUGAGACUGGUGGUGACGUAAACAGAUGUUACUUUCGCAAUACUAUGUAAAGAAAUGCGUCAGUAUUUGGAAGACGUGUGUAACACAGUGAGCCAGUACUUCCAGAUGACCGAUGCACGGUGUCACAGACCCGGCCAUGGGUCGGGGAGCCCUGCACAGUGCAGGAUGGAGGGACCGAGUUCAGUGAGAGGUUCGCUGCGUGGUUUCAGGUCCUGCGCGGCUGCUGAACUUGAACAACUCCGUUGUCCAGUUUGGAUGCAGGACCAGAGGAGAAUAUCUGCAGUUUACUGAAAAGGCUGUGAAAGUCCUCCCGUUUCAGCUACGAGUCCAUGUGAGGCCAGUUCCUCAGCCAAGAGGAGGAAUCACGGUGGUCUGAAGAAGACAGGAGAACCAGCUGUCUUCCUAAAUGCCCGGCACUGGGAGAUUUGCAUACGCAGAAAACAGUGCCACCCUUCUUAUUAAAUUUUUUUUUUUUUUUUUUGCUUUGGAAAAUAGAGAUUUUUUAAUUAUUUGUGAACUUAGGCAAGUAUAUAUAUAAUCGAGGUUUUGCUAUUUUUAAACAAUAAAUAAUUUUAAAUUUCUGUUUUAUUUCCUAGUUUGCUGUCAAUAGAUGUAACCCAGGUAUCUAUUGUUGUGGCCUCAGUAGCUUUUCCGAGGGUAAAGGUGAAGAGAGCUCACGUUCUGUAAGGGGCUAGGGGUUGGGAUGGCGCUGUGGAACAGCCCUGCUUCAGGAUUUCAUUCAGGAGGUACGUCCAAAAAAACGAUUCCGCCUGGGUAGGCGUGGGAGCUUAUUUCUCCAUUAAAAUGAAAUACCAGGAACACGUCCCAUUCCUGUGUCUACGUUUUGUGCUGUGACAUCCCCAAGCCACAUCCCAGAGCAGGGAUAAAAUCAAGUUAUUAUUAAGCUGCAUUAUUUUGAUGUUAGGUGGGUAGUUUACAAACCAGCUUUUAUCCUUUUGUGUUAAGACUAAAACACCACCACU